AUUUAGCAUCUAUUCAACUGUGCUCAUAAUCAAUUGAAAGCAAUCAAAGCAAAUGUCCAAGUCUCGAAUAUUCGAUUCGAAAUGCAAUCAUCUUGUAAUAGAUGGAAUUGAGUUUGCGUUGACAUAAAGUUGUUAAAUUGAUAAUGUUAAUAUUGGAUAUUCGAUAAACCAAUCGACUAAAUAGUUUCUAACAAACAUCAAACAGACAAGAUGGUUGGAGAAGUUUGGGACGCUGCUUGCUGGUGACUGCUGUAUGGGAAUGGCUCAUACUCUGGGAAGUCGGGGGGAAAAGCUGGCGAGUCGGCCAAGCCAAACGUCAUGUUUGCUGCCAAAAAUAAACAUGAUUUUUUCAUAAGGCACACAUAGAGGGAGAGAGCUAGCAGAGUCACUGAGCCGCAGUACCCAAAACUGACAGUCAGUUUGUUUGUCUACACAAUAAAAACAACAAAUGGUUGGAAAUAUGGCGACACGGGGCGAGAAGGAGGGGGGAACGAAGUCAAAAAACUGGUGCAAUGUGCGGUGAAUUGGACUUACCCAGACCCAAAAGCAGCUGAACGUUGACAAACUCCUUGAGCUGUGCCAAUUCAAGGCAAUUCCACAACUGCAAAUCCGAGUAAUAACCAUGCGGAUCGAGAUUUUCACGAAUUGUUGCAUUGAACAAAUGCACAUCCUGAGGAAUUAUCGAUAAUCUGGUACGCAGCUCGUCCACUCGUAUCUGCUCAAUGUCCACAUCAUCAAUGCAAAUGUGUCCACUUGUCGUCUGUAAUACUCCAAACAGGGAUAAAGCCAAAGAGGACUUGCCGCUGCCCGUCCGGCCACAGAUGCCAAUCUGAACAAUACCGCACUGUUUCCACUUAUUCAAAAUGGUUAGCGGGUAUUUUACAGACGAGCACACUCGACUGCAGCUUUCUUUCUUGUUGGAGUUAU